rnacentral:rRNA from 1 species
UUGUGAGGUUAAGCGACUAAGCGUACACGGUGGAUGCCCUGGCAGUCAGAGGCGAUGAAGGACGUGCUAAUCUGCGAUAAGCGUCGGUGAGGUGAUAUGAACCGUUAUAACCGGCGAUUUCCGAAUGGGGAAACCCAGUGUGUUUCGACACACUAUCAUUAACUGAAUCCAUAGGUUAAUGAGGCGAACCGGGGGAACUGAAACAUCUAAGUACCCCGAGGAAAAGAAAUCAACCGAGAUUCCCCCAGUAGCGGCGAGCGAACGGGGAGGAGCCCAGAGCCUGAAUCAGUGUGUGUGUUAGUGGAAGCGUCUGGAAAGGCGCGCGAUACAGGGUGACAGCCCCGUACACAAAAAUGCACAUAUUGUGAGCUCGAUGAGUAGGGCGGGACACGUGGUAUCCUGUCUGAAUAUGGGGGGACCAUCCUCCAAGGCUAAAUACUCCUGACUGACCGAUAGUGAACCAGUACCGUGAGGGAAAGGCGAAAAGAACCCCGGCGAGGGGAGUGAAAAAGAACCUGAAACCGUGUACGUACAAGCAGUGGGAGCCUCUUAAUGGGGUGACUGCGUACCUUUUGUAUAAUGGGUCAGCGACUUAUAUUCUGUAGCAAGGUUAACCGAAUAGGGGAGCCGAAGGGAAACCGAGUCUUAACUGGGC